rnacentral:rRNA from 1 species
CACGUAGGGUGCAAGCGUUGUCCGGAAUCAUUGGGCGUAAAGAGCUCGUAGGCGGCUUAGUAAGUCGGGUGUGAAAACCCCAGGCUCAACCUGGGGACGCCACCCGAUACUGCUAUAGCUAGAGUCCAGUAGGGGAGUGUGGAAUUCCCAGUGUAGCGGUGAAAUGACGCAGAUAUUGGGAGGAACACCAGCGGCGAAGGCGGCACUCUGGGCUGGUACUGACGCUGAGGAGCGAAAGCGUGGGUAGCGAACAGG